CACUGAUGCCUGGGUCACUUGGAGGCCACUGUGACCGCUUUAUAAAUGCCAUCACAGGAAUACCUGAGUCGAUAAAAACAAAAAAUACAAGCGCCAAAGGAGAAAAAGGACUUGAGACGCUGGGCAAUUUUAUACAUUUUAACUCGUUUGACCCUGCAUCAAUUCUAAAUGGCGGUCUAAUUCUAAUUCUCUCUUUACUGAAGAGAAAAACAGAAUCUGAGAAAAACUGAGAAGCUGCAAACAGGCGGGUGCGGGAUUCGAACCAACCUCAACUCGGAGCCUCGGGUCUUGCGCCGCAGCAGCCCGGGUCCCCCGACCCCCCAGGGGUACUGCGCUGCAAACUGGGCUUUGACAGCUCGCAGAGGUUCCCGCCCCGCUCCGCGUCGUCGCCCCCGGCCUCAGCGCAGCCCCGAACCGGGCGCGCCCAGCACUCACCCUCUGCGCUGUCGCGGGUCCGGUGGAAGUCCUCAGAGCGGCCGUCGCGGAAGGCCCGGCAAAGAGAGAGGCAGAGGAAAUCGAGCAUCCAGCCAGCAGCGACCGCCUCAGCCUCGGCCACUAGGCCCGGGUCUUCCUCUUCCUCUGGGACCCCCACUUGCACCUGGCAUUCCAGUAGUUCCUGGCACUCAAACUGCUCCUGAUCAUCUCUCGGCGUUUCUGCCAUUCGCUCUUCCGGGGGCUCCGCGUCCUCCCCAUCCGCACGCCCCCGCGGGCUCGGAGCCGCCAAGACACCAUUUUCCGCCAUGUUAAAUCACUCGCGCGAGUCCGCCCCCGCCCCAGGCGCCGAGCGACGAUUGGCUAGUGCGGGAGGGCCCUGGGCGGUGCCUCGAAAGGUCUCUUCCGCCGGCGGGAAACCACCAAUCACACCGCCAGGGUGGGCGAGCGACUUAAGCCUUGCAUUUGAUUGGCCGAGGCCUGCUCCCGCUUCAGGAUGUUGAAUUCCCCGCCACGCUGCAGCCGGGCUUUGUUGGUAAACUGGACUACUACGGACUGGGCGACUAGUGAGGUUAGGAGGUGAGGAGCCUGAUAAAGGCAACAUUGCUUUAUACUCCUGAUAAAAUGCAACAUUGACGGCAACAGCAACACGGUUAGUUAAAAUAGAAAGCAUUUUACCCGCAGUGUACUUCAAAAAGGAAAGUUCAUAAUGUAUCAUUUCCUUCGGGACUGCUUUCAAGGUGAUGGAUUCUAGUAAUCUGAGGUGAAGGAAUGGAUUUCCAACUUUAGUUUUUGGAGACCGAAGUGAAAAUAACGUUAUCCUCUUGACUACUGGACAGCACUACAUGGGUCACUCCUGAGGAAUGUCUACCCUUGGACUAGUGAAAACAGCUAAUGUAAGACAGAGAGAGACAGCGUGUGAGCAGGGGAGGAGCAGAGAGAGAGGGAGACACAGAAUCAGAAGCAGGCUCCAGGCCCUGAGCUGUCAGCAGAGAGCCCGACACGGGGCUCGAACUCACGAACUGUGAGAUCAUGACCUGAGCCGAAGUCGGACACUCAAUCAACUGAGCCACCCUGGCAUCCCAAACUCUUUCAAUAUUACUUUGUGACUUAGGACUUCGAUGACUUAUCUAUAUAUAGCUUCUGUAUUAUAUUCAUAUUAGCCCUUUUUUAAUUCUGACAGUUAGAUUUUUGGCCUUUUAUUGACCACUUUUUGUGUUUCUUUUGCUACUUGGGUUUUAAAUGGAUCCAGGUGGUUUACUUCAUAAUAUUUUCUACGAUAAAGCUGGAGUGAUAAAUUUUCAUUAAUAACUAGUAAACCCAUUUGUAAACCGUUGUUGCAAAGUUCAUAAGGUUAUACACCUUUGUUGUAAGGAACUGUCAUAUAGUAAAUCAUGCCUGGUGAUUAUUGCCAUUUGGGGACAUUUUUUAUUAACCUCUGAAUUAAAUAAUUCAAAAUUGAAUAAAAGUUGGUAUUAUUGACA